ACAGGGGGGUCGAAGGAGGAAGGCCUGCAGGCGACGGCCCUGACCAGGAUGCUGCAGCCGGCCAGCGACCACCUCCCUGACCUUCUCCCCACGCCGGCAACCUUCCUGAUUUGACGCCAUCCGGCUUCCUCUCCGCCCCGGCCCCGCCAGUGAGUCCUCUGCUUUUUCCAGACAAUUCAAUGCCUCGGUUUCUGGCUCGGCGUCGACAUUGGUGGUUGUCAUGCUUCUGGUUUUUAUGGUCUUUAUAUGUUCAGGAGGACUUCCUCCUCUCGGAUGCUGUCGACAAAAAUGAGUAAAACGGAUAGGUGCAUCUCGCUGCCUUUCGAUAAUAAUUUUCUGCUGUUUUGGCUGCCUAUGCAUUACAAUCGCCAGGCGAAUACCCUAGCUACCUUUGUAUGGUGGUACAGACCAAUGCGGCAGCGAUGGCGAGGAACCGCAGCUCCAAGUUCAGGACUACGCCGGAGACAAGAACGACUCAUAGUAAGGUGCAUCCUGCUGCCUUCUCUGAUCAAUCCGUGAUAUUUUGGCAGCCACGCAAUUGUUGCUGCACAGAAAGGUUCAGAUCAUACCAGGGUUGAAUAGCACCAAGCUGAGCGUACCAGGAGGCGGUGUUGGAGGGUGGACCAGGACUCCACUUGUGCUUUCAGGUCUCCGAUUUUUCUGCAUGCAUAGGGCUGCUCUUAUGAUUCCUCUCCUCUCCUUUUCUUUUUGAAUGUACAGUCUGUUGUAUGCAUAGUCUCUGGAAGUAUAUACAAGAUUGCUCAAAUAUGUAUAUUUCUGGCUUCUUUGUUCA